GGAUGGGUGGCUGAGUGGUCGAAAGCGGCGGUCUUGAAAACCGUUGGGCGUUUGCGCGUCCCGGGGGUUCGAAUCCCUCCCCAUCCGCCA
rnacentral:tRNA from 1 species